rnacentral:rRNA from 1 species
GACGAACGCUGGCGGCGUGCUUAACACAUGCAAGUCGUACGGUAAGGCCCUUUCGGGGGUACACGAGUGGCGAACGGGUGAGUAACACGUGAGUAACCUGCCCACAACUUUGGGAUAACGCUAGGAAACUGGUGCUAAUACUGGAUAUGUGCUCCUGCUGCAUGGUGGGGGUUGGAAAGCUCCGGCGGUUGUGGAUGGACUCGCGGCCUAUCAGCUUGUUGGUGGGGUAGUGGCCUACCAAGGCGGCGACGGGUAGCCGGCCUGAGAGGGUGACCGGCCACAUUGGGACUGAGAUACGGCCCAGACUCCUACGGGAGGCAGCAGUGGGGAAUAUUGCACAAUGGGCGCAAGCCGGAUGCAGCAACGCCGCGUGCGGGAGGACGGCCUUCGGGUUGUAAACCGCUUUCAGCAGGGACGAAGCUUUUUGUGACGGUACCUGCAGAAGAAGCACCGGCUAACUACGUG